rnacentral:lncRNA from 1 species
GUAUUUUAUUUUUCCCUUUUAAAUUCUUGAAAUUCUAUAAUUUGAUUUUAUAUACAAACAUAGACAACAAAGUUUGAUUAUAACUCUAAAGGAGUUUGUGAGAAAUUAUAACCACACGAAGUGGUAAAAUCUCUAUGUCCUGCCAUGAUUAAAUUCAUGCAUGAUUGUGGGCAAAUAAUUAAAAAUCCGUCCCAUUGAAUUUGCUCCAUUCCCUUUAGAGAAUGUGGAAGCAGUAUAUGAUAAGUCGGAAAGAAGACUAAAAUAUUACCAUGAAGGUAUCAAUGAAUAUGGACGUGGCAAAAAAUUCCGUCCAAUUGAAUUAGCUCCAUUUCCUUUAGAGAAUGUGGUAGCAGCAUGUGGUAAGUCUGAAAGAAGACAAAAUUAUUACCAUGGA